CCUGUCUCUAAAUAAAAUACAAAACAGGGCUGGGGAUGUGGCUCAGUGGUCGAGUGACCCUGAGUUCAAUCCCCGGUACCCGCCCCCUCCCACGGGAAAAGUCAUUUUUAAUGACUGCACAACAGUCCAACAAAUAGAAGUUCCACCUAAUGUACCAUCUGGUUAUUUCUACACUUUUUAUUUGAUAAACAAUUUUGAGCUAUAAUGUUUUCUUUUUUUAACCUCAGCUAUUGGGAUUUUGUCCUGGGUUGAGUUGUUUCCAAAAAAAAGAUAUGUUCAAGUCCUAACCCUGGGUGCAUGUGAAUGGGACCUUCCUUGGAAAGGGGGUCUUUGCAGAUGUAAUCAAGUGUCAGGUGGAGACAGACACACAGGGGUCCGUGUGACGCCGGAGCUGAGACAGAAGGUGGACUGCCCUGGGUGGAUGGCCUCCACCAGCAGCUGGAACAGGUGAAGCAGGUGCUUCCCAGUGAGGGACCCAGCACCACCCACACCUUGACUUUGCACCUCUGGCCUCCAGAACUGUGAGGCAGUAAGUUCCUGUUGUCUAAAGCCAUCCAAGCCGUGGCGGUCCUGGGGGACGCCGUGGGCCCGAGGUAGAGCUGGCCCUGAGGAGAUGGGCCACAGCUGGUGUGUAGAUGGCCCUCCGUGGGCUUGGUCUCCCCCAGCCUGGCCCACGCACUCCGCAGAAGACUGGAGUCCAAAGGAGCCAGCCCUGCAGCCCGCAGCCUGCCACCCCUCCUUUCCACGUUUCUCUGUGUCCCCUGCACUCAGGGUUGGCAUCCGGUCCCUGCUCAGAGGCGGGCAGCAGCGCAGGAGGCCUUGAUUAGCCCUCAGGUGGCCAGGAGCCACGUGUGACUCUUGCCUCUGGGAUGCCAUCCUGCUCCCCGCACCGCAGCCCAGGGGCGUGGGCAAGCGUGCAGUGGGCCCCGCAGGUGCAGGAGCGUUGCCCACGACGUCCUGCCUUUCAGCUGGCUGGUGGCUGGGGGGUAGCAUCACCUGUCACACUGUGGCUGGCGCCUCGGUCUUGCUCACCCGCUGGCUCAGGGCUUCACCGUCUUCAAAGCUGUUCUUGGGGGGCACAAAAACGUUUUUCUUCCCCCGACUCCCACACCAUUUGGGGCAGUUCUCCCCCGGACUAAAUCUGGAGCUCAGCUGAAGGUCUUGGCCUUUGAGGAAUUAGGUCCUCUCC
rnacentral:lncRNA from 1 species